CCCGCGGCGUCGAUACUUUGCAAUACGCGAAAGCUUGACAGGGCUAUCCCGAGUGCCAUCCGCUGAGGAAGGCUUUUACCCAGUCUAGAACGCUGGGGGAAUAAGGAGAGGGCAAGUCUGGUGUCAGCCGCCGCGGUAAUACCAGCUCUCCGAGUGGUGUGGAUGUUUAUUGGGCCUAAAGCAUCCGUAGCUGGCUAAGUUAGUCCCUUGUUAAAUCCACCGAAUUAAUCGUUGGAUUGCGGGGGAUACUGCUUGGCUAGGGGACGAGAGAGGCAGACGGUAUUUCCGGGGUAGGGGUGAAAUCCUAUAAUCCCGGGAAGACCACCAGUGGCGAAGGCUGUCUGCUAGAACGCGCCCGACGGUGAGGGAUGAAAGCUGGGGGAGCGAACCGGAUUAGAUACCCGGGUAGUCCCAGCUGUAAACGAUGCAGGCUAGGUGUUUGGACGGCCACGUGCCGUUCUAGUGCCGCAGGGAAGCUGUUAAGCCUGCCGCCUGGGGAGUACGAUCGCAAGAUUGAAACUUAAAGGAAUUGGCGGGGGAGCAC
rnacentral:rRNA from 1 species